rnacentral:rRNA from 1 species
UUUAUUGAGAGUUUGAUCCUGGCUCAGGAUGAACGCUGGCGGCGUGCUUAACACAUGCAAGUCGAACGGAACACCCUUGAAGGAGUUUUCGGACAACUGAUAGGACUGUUUAGUGGCGGACGGGUGAGUAACGCGUGAGUAACCUGCCUUGGAGUGGGGAAUAACAGCUGGAAACAGCUGCUAAUACCGCAUAAUAUAUCUGUGUCGCAUGGCACUGGAUAUCAAAGAUUUAUCGCUCUGAGAUGGACUCGCGUCUGAUUAGCUGGUUGGCGGGGUAACGGCCCACCAAGGCGACGAUCAGUAGCCGGACUGAGAGGUUGGCCGGCCACAUUGGGACUGAGACACGGCCCAGACUCCUACGGGAGGCAGCAGUGGGGAAUAUUGGGCAAUGGGCGCAAGCCUGACCCAGCAACGCCGCGUGAAGGAAGAAGGCUUUCGGGUUGUAAACUUCUUUUCUCAGGGACGAAGCAAGUGACGGUACCUGAGGAAUAAGCCACGGCUAACUACGUGCCAGCAGCCGCGGUAAUACGUAGGUGGCAAGCGUUAUCCGGAUUUACUGGGUGUAAAGGGCGUGUAGGCGGGACUGCAAGUCAGAUGUGAAAACCACGGGCUCAACCUGUGGCCUGCAUUUGAAACUGUAGUUCUUGAGUACUGGAGAGGCAGACGGAAUUCCUAGUGUAGCGGUGAAAUGCGUAGAUAUUAGGAGGAACACCAGUGGCGAAGGCGGUCUGCUGGACAGCAACUGACGCUGAGGCGCGAAAGCGUGGGGAGCAAACAGGAUUAGAUACCCUGGUAGUCCACGCUGUAAACGAUGGAUACUAGGUGUGGGGGGACUGACCCCCUCCGUGCCGCAGUUAACACAAUAAGUAUCCCACCUGGGGAGUACGAUCGCAAGGUUGAAACUCAAAGGAAUUGACGGGGGCCCGCACAAGCGGUGGAGUAUGUGGUUUAAUUCGAAGCAACGCGAAGAACCUUACCAGGGCUUGACAUCCCGGUGACCGCUCUAGAGAUAGAGUUUUCUCUUCGGAGACACUGGAGACAGGUGGUGCAUGGUUGUCGUCAGCUCGUGUCGUGAGAUGUUGGGUUAAGUCCCGCAACGAGCGCAACCCUUAUU